GAAAUCAAUUCAACAACAACUGCCCCGGUGCUUCCCCGUAGAUAGCACCGCUGGUCAGUUCGGGAGGGGAUGGGACAUUGAGGAGCAGGACAGUCUUCAGGAAGCUUACAGUCUGCUUUGGGUUGUUUCAGGAACACAGUCAUCCCUCAGAAAUGGAUUGGGUGACAAGUGGUCUGCAUGCUGCACACGGGCACUGGGUCUCUGAAUGUAACCAAAUUGUUCUCCUCUUAUCAUUCCCAUUCACUGGUGUACUUGUUUGUGGAGCCUGCAGAACUGCCUUUUUCAAGAAUGGCAGCUUGGCCUCUAAAUCUGCUUCCCACUGAUGGGAAGAGCUGACAGAAGCUUUAGAGAGGCACAGGGUGAGUUCCUAAAACCAGAGUCAACACACACUCUUCAUCUGUUUUGUGCUUCACUCCCUGCUCAUCUUCCUAAAACACUGAGUUUGGUCAUAUCAUGUCCUACAAGUUGUCAAUGAUUUCCCAUGAUCUUGUCUUCAGGAUAAAGUUCCUUAGUCAAAAGCAAUGAAGACCUGACCUAAUCUGUAAGGCAAAAUCAACACUUUUUAGCCUGGCCUUCCAUGCCCUUCCAUGCCCUUCGAGCCCCCAGAGCACCCAUGGCAGUCCAUCUCUCUCUACUUGUCCAGAGGGACACUCUCUUAGAGCCAGUGGCUCCUACUCACGGUUCCCCGAACACGUCGUGGGAAUGUUUGCCUUCAUACCUUCCCAGAUCAUUUUCCUGAUCUCAGACACCCUCCGUCCUCAUUCAUUCACUCUUCAAUUGUCCAACAAAUAUUUGUUGCUCAUGCAACCUGGAUCACCCACAUAGUUUCAAGACUGCAUCUUCUAAACUAUUUAAAUCCUAUCCAUUCUUCAAGAAAUGUUUCAUGACGCUUCCUUAACUGCUAAGGACCCGCAGAUUCUCUUCCUCUUGGGACUCACACACUGACUCAUCUCCCGAUCUUUUGGUGCUCAGCAAAGUGGAGGCUUCUGUUUUGGACUUAGAGUCAAGACCAUUAAAUAAGACUAUGCUCUAAAAAGUACACCUCCGUGGCCCGGAACGAGUGAAUUAACAUCUAUGAGUUUCCAUUUCCUUGUCUAUAAAAUUGUGAAAUUGCAACUUAAGAUUAGUUCUGAAGAUUAAAUGAGGUAACAUAGGUGAAAAUGCUACAUUUAUGUAAGAAAUUACUCUUUCAUAAGGAUGUCAAUGUUUAAAUACGCAUUUUCUCAAUUUUGUUAAUGAAAUACUUUGAAAUUCUUUUUUCUAAUGAAACCUGCUGAAUGUAAAAGAGACCCGUACUAAAGAAAGAUACCACAUGAAGCACCAAGGGUCUCUUUCUGGAUCUAUCAUGACUCUUGUGACUGUUUCAGCAGCACAGAAAUUAAAGGCGAUUGUUAUUCUGGAGGAAGACAAUGAGUCUCAUCUAUAUCUUGUUUGGGUUGAUUUUGUAAACAGAACAUUCCAAAGAUCAUUCUUGCCUUUUGUUUCCACUGAGAACUAGAAUAAAGUAAAACAAACUAUCAAUUUAAGGAAAGCCUCGAAAUUGUUAGCAAUUUCUUCAGUAACUUUCAUCCAUCAACUGAUUUUAUGAACACAAAUUUGCAGAAAUGGGCAAGAAAAACUACUUAACUCAUUGGUGGGAAGCAGUGGGCUCUCUAAGGAGGGAGAGAUAGCAGUGAUUUCACCACCGGACCGUGGAACACAAAGAGCCUGGAAGAGUCUAUCACUUUCAACUGAAACCGCAAGAAGAACUAAGUAGGUUAAGCCCUAAGAAUGUUCCUAGGUAACCUACUUGAGUUGAAAUUUGACUAAGAAUCCUUACACCCUACCUAAGAGAGGUAACGCUAUUAGGAUCGGAAGUGAUUGGAAGCUUUGUUUCAGAUCUCGUCCAAAAGGGAGAACGGUCAAUGACAAAGCUGCUGUGAAUAGUAUUCUGGGGGCGUGGUGGAACCCCGAUUCACUGCUAUCUCCCGAAUCAGCAACUUGACAGAGCGCGCCUCCCGGGCCUUGGAAGCCUUCCAUUCCGAGCUGGCUGGGUGGGACUCAGGUUUUACGGUAUGCUGGACUUUUUCCCCGUGAGUUAAAACACAUUUAUAGUAACUAAGUGGUUAAUGAUGAGAAAAAACCCCAAACUACUGUACUAAUAAUCAACCUCUGCUAUUUGGUUUGUAAAAAACAAAAAUACAUCUAUAAAAAGGGUUGGCCGG
rnacentral:lncRNA from 10 species